rnacentral:rRNA from 1 species
AGCGAACGCUGGCGGCAGGCCUAACACAUGCAAGUCGAACGAACUCUUCGGAGUUAGUGGCGGACGGGGGAGUAACACGUGGGAACGUGCCUUUUGGUUCGGAAUAACUCAGGGAAACUUGUGCUAAUACCGAAUGUGCUCUUCGGGGGAAAGAUUUAUCGCCAUUAGAGCGGCCCGCGUCUGAUUAGCUAGUUGGUGAGGUAACGGCUCACCAAGGCGACGAUCAGUAGCUGGUCUGAGAGGAUGACCAGCCACACUGGGACUGAGACACGGCCCAGACUCCUACGGGAGGCAGCAGUGGGGAAUCUUGCGCAAUGGGCGAAAGCCUGACGCAGCCAUGCCGCGUGAAUGAUGAAGGUCUUAGGAUUGUAAAAUUCUUUCACCGGGGACGAUAAUGACGGUACCCGGAGAAGAAGCCCCGGCUAACUUCGUG